ACUGGGGUGGCAGAGCAUGGUAAUUGCAUAAGGCCUAAGCCCUUAAAGCCAGAGGUUCAAGUCCUCUCCUCAGUU
rnacentral:tRNA from 1 species